GAGGAGCGGCACGAGCGGGCUGCAAAGGGGCGGGAGCGGAGAACUUUCUAGAGAAGCGGUUAAACGGGUUGAGGCUCUUGGACUGAGGGUACUGGAGUGGUUUGGUUUUUUUGUUUGUUUGUGUCGUUUUUGUUAAGAUUUGCUUUUCUGGUUGAUGGCCCCUAGGAGUGCCCUCCUCCUACACCAGGACCUCUGGGAUCACAAUCUUCCCUAUGUCGUUCCGCCCCACCCCCACCCUUACCCCACCCCUCUGCCCGCGUCUAAGCGAUUUUUCCAGAUCCUUCUCUAUCCUCAGGACUCCAAGUGGCGAGCCUCCCAAGUCCGGGCCUGCCUCGUGGCCGGCCCUGCUCACCCAGGCCCACAGCGGAAUAGCUGGAGACAGGCAGUCAGAUGUGAAGUGGCAAAGAUCGGCCUCCCGUGAUUGUGCCACAGAUGCCCAUGGUUCCAGGCGUGGGCACCUGAGCAGUGUGGGAAAGAGAGGUCGAGGGAUUGAAAGUGUGGGCCCCGUAGGGACAGUUUCAGCCCAGGUGCACAGAUCGGACACAACUUUGCCCUCCCUGCAGCCUGGCAGGCCCACCGCAAAAAUGCCAUGAGCAGAUUUAUAAGAGCCAUAGACUUGUAAGUGGAGGUGAAUAGGAAGGAAGGUUUUCUCAACCUGCUCGCUGCUCCUAUGAGAUGCCUGUGGAGUUCUGAGUCUGUGUGGCUAAAACCAUGAAGUUCUGAUUACCGGAACAGUGCUGGCUUGAUGGAAGAUCUGUCUGGAGAGGUCCUGACUCUGCCCAGCAGUUUAGUACCCAGUUAUACAGCCUGAAUGGCAGCAGCACAGGAAAGAGAGGAACAAUUGAAAACAAAA
rnacentral:lncRNA from 1 species